rnacentral:rRNA from 1 species
GACGUAGGAGGCGAGCGUUGUCCGGAUUCAUUGGGCGUAAAGAGCACGCAGGCGGUUUGGCAAGUCGGAUGUGAAAACCCGAAGCUCAACUUCGGGCCUGCAUCCGAAACUGCCCGACUAGAGGUAGGUAGGGGAGAUCGGAAUUCCUGGUGUAGCGGUGAAAUGCGCAGAUAUCAGGAAGAACACCUAUGGCGAAGGCAGCUCUCUGGGACGGUACUGACGCUGAGACGCGAAAGCGUGGGGAGCGAACAGG